rnacentral:snoRNA from 1 species
AACCCAUGGUGUGGGCAUUGGUUUGUGUAGCUCCUGAAUCUCUCAUAUGCUUCACCAAAACUUUCAUUGCUGUGCU